AAACAAAAGGGGAAGUUUUAAUGUGUGAGCAAUGCGCUGUCUUGAAAUAGAAACCUCGUCAAUUUUUACAAACUGCUUAUGACCUGUUCGUCAUAUUCAAGAUUUUAAUUCUUAUGUAAUAACGUUAUUUUUAUGUAAUCACAUUUGUUCCCCCCUCUUGGUCAGGGGAGGGCAUCCAGUCUUAAGUUAGUCAGGCUAUAGGUUGGUUGGUGGCUUAUAAGAUGGAUACCAUCUGAUACCAAGAACCUGCCCAAAUUAUUAUGAUGGUGACCAUACUGGAACAAGCAAUUUCUUUGUUUUAAGAGAAUCAAGAUAUAAAGAGAGUUAGUUGGUUGUGGGAGCAGGAGCUGAAAAUACAUACAGAGAGG
rnacentral:lncRNA from 1 species